rnacentral:rRNA from 1 species
UACAGAGGUCUCGAGCGUUAGGCGGAAUCACUGGGCUUAAAGCGCGUGUAGGUGGCUCGUUAAGUACCUUGUGAAAUCCCACGGCUUAACCGUGGAACUGCUUGGUAUACUGGCGGUCUUGAGCCAGCUAGGGGCUACCGGAACAAAUGGUGGAGCGGUGAAAUGCGUAGAGAUCGGAAAGAACACCAACGGCGAAAGCACUCUGCUGGGCCGACACUGACACUGAGAGACGAAAGCUAGGGGAGCGAAUGGG